rnacentral:lncRNA from 1 species
AGUCUAUUUUGGACUCUCCCCCUAAUAUUAACAUAACAUCAUUUUUACCUACCAACCGUCUCUAGAGCAAAUGACAAAGAACUUAGAAGUUGGUAUUCGAGAUUCAAAUUUAAAUUUUAAUUAAUUUACAUUUCUAACUAAGUUUAUUUCUAAAUAAAAUAAAUGAAGUGGAUAGCGUACUACCUAUCUCUCAAAAAUAUAUUAUUUUUACCUACCGUCCUUAGAGCAAGUUAGAAAAGACUUUGUGGUUGAUAUCCGGGGUCCAAAGUUCGAAUCCUAAUUGAUUCAUAUUUCUAGCUAAGGGCCUGUUUGUUCGCCCGUAAAAAUUUUUUUUCGAAAAACUCUUUUUAC